AGAGGAAAUGGUGGAAUUAGGCUUAUUUGGUGGGAUAUGAUUUGAGAUUUCACACUUGGUUUCCUUCCUUAGGGUUAGGUCACUAGGAUAUUAUAAAUAUAAGAAAAUGUGAGCCUUGGAGAACUAUUUUGGUGGCUUCUGAAUUAUUGAGAGAAAGAGGGAGAGGAGAGCACACAAAAGAGAGAAAGAAAUAGAGAAAGAAGGAGAAGAGGAAAAGGGUUUCAUGAAUCUCUAGGUGGCUAAGGAUUGAGUUGCUUUGUGUUCUUAAACAUUACCAAGGGGGUUUAUAAAGAUCCAAGGAUGUGGUAGAUCUCUAGCGUACCCCGAGCUGAGUGAUGCGCCAGCUCGUGUCUCGGAUGCUAUGCUUUAUAAAUGUUUCCAAUUCGUGCCUAUUGCUUUGUAUUCACCAUUUCGUGCUAUUGAUCUGGGGAAUCGUGCAGCCGUUACAGAUGAAAUAUGAAUUUGUGGAUCAUCUAUUACAGUUUUUGGCUAGCCAGCUGUAUCCGAGCUGACUAAAAGACUCGUGCUGAAUUUUCGGACGUACAAAAAUGUAAACACUAGUAGACUUGUUUGGCGCACAUGGUGAGUUGAGUCAGUUUUUUAUAAGUAUUGUAUGUAUGCUGCGGGGAACCAUUGAACGAGAAAACGAUCUGGAACGCCAUAGUGCCUUAAAAUCUUCCAUUAUGUUAAUUUAUUAAUGGGAUUUACUUAUUUAUUUUUAAGACUGCAUCAAAUCCUCUUUGUUUUGAACAUUGGAUCCAAAUUCUACAUCUAUUUUAGAUAAACAUCCACUGUAUUUUCAGUCAGAUUACGAAAUCUAUAAAAUUAUUAUUAAAAUUAGUAUUUUGAUAGAGAUAUGCAACUAGGGGCGUUAUAGUAAAAAUAAUACAGUGUAUCUUAUAUAACUAAAUGGAUCAUGACUAUGGAUAGACAGGACCAAAUAUAUUACAUUCAUUGGAUUAUUAAGUAAGAACGAACUACCUAAAAUAUUAUCACUAGCAUCUUUGGAUUUUAAUCAUAUAAUAAUUAUCAUUUAUUAUUGUUUUAGCUGACAUUGGAUGUUGGUGUUCGUGAUGAUCCGUGAGACG